rnacentral:rRNA from 1 species
UACAGAGGUCUCAAGCGUUGUUCGGAUUCAUUGGGCGUAAAGCGCGCGUAGGCGGCUUUGCAAGUCGGGUGUGAAAUCCCCAGGCUUAACCUGGGAACUGCCAUUCGAGACUGCAUUGCUAGAGUAUGGGAGAGGGAAGUGGAAUUUCCGGUGUAGCGGUGAAAUGCGUAGAUAUCGGAAGGAACAUCAGUGGCGAAAGCGACUUCCUGGACCAAUACUGACGCUCAUGAUGCGAAAGCGUGGGGAGCAAAACAGGUU